GACCCAGUGGUGGGUGGUACCGUGUCUGUAUCUUGCGGCUUCUCUCUCAAGGAAUAUACCACGCAGGUUUCUGGUUCGAAUCCAGGCUGGGUCG